rnacentral:rRNA from 1 species
CGGGUGAGUACACGUGAGUGACCUGCCUUUUAGACUGGAACAACUUACCGAAAGGUGAGCUAAUGCCGGAUGAGUUAUAUAAGUGCAUGUUUAUAUAGGAAAAGUUGGGGAGACCUGACGCUGAAAGAUGGACUCGCGUCCCAUUAGCUAGUUGGUAGGGUAAUGGCCUACCAAGGCGACGAUGGGUAGCCGGCCUGAGAGGGUGGCCGGCCACACUGGGACUGAGACACGGCCCAGACUCCUACGGGAGGCAGCAG